rnacentral:lncRNA from 1 species
GGUCUAUUGCUAUAUUUCCUUGCGCAACUUUACAGUGUUAAAUGAUUUAGUUGUAAAAUUAAAGUUUUGCAUUAUUAUGGCGUGUAUUUUGUUGUCUAGAUAACUUUCACAUGAGAAAAAUAUGGUUGUGCAUCUCUUUCUUCCCUAUAAUGUGAACAAUAUAAGGAUUUCUGGGACUGCUUAACGUUUCCCACUGACAAAUAAUCAUUUCAACUAAGACGUAAUGUCACUAUGAAAUACUAUGUCAGAACAUGUGUGAGAAGUUUUGAUCCUCACAAACUCAAAAUACUGUACAGGACCCAGAGCUAGGUGGUCCACAAGAAAAAUUAUGUGUGGUCACUGUCUGCCUUCCUGUUCUCCCCACACGCAUCCCCACUUUCAACAAUGCCUUAUUUUGGACGGUGUGAAUUUAAGAAGCAAUCGACAUGAGAAAAAAAUGGAUGGCCGGAAUCGAAGAUAGAGCAGAGAUCCUCUGCUGUACAUGCAAUGCACCGCACCGUGCGGUGCAUCGCACACACCUGGACAGCUGUGCAUGACGUGCAUCGUACAACCCACUGCACGAGGGGCCCUAUGCACUGUGCAUCAUACCAUGUGAUGCAUAGUAGAGG